rnacentral:rRNA from 1 species
UACGUAGGGUGCGAGCGUUAAUCGGAAUUACUGGGCGUAAAGCGUGCGCAGGCGGUUCGUUAUGUCCGUUGUGAAAGCCCCGGGCUCAACCUGGGAAUGGCAAUGGAAACUGGCGGGCUUGAGUAUGGCAGAGGGGGGUGGAAUUCCGCGUGUAGCAGUGAAAUGCGUAGAGAUGCGGAGGAACACCGAUGGCGAAGGCAGCCCCCUGGGCCAAUACUGACGCUCAGGCACGAAAGCGUGGGGAGCAAACAGG